rnacentral:lncRNA from 1 species
GUUACAUAGGAUUUUCCCCAUUGUUUUUGUUGUUGUUGACUUGGCCAGGUCAUCCCUAAAAUUAUACAUGUGAAGAAAGAAUGAACUAUAUGUGUAUCUCCAUCAUCUAGAGAAACAAGAAAGAAAACAAUGAAAAAAUCUCAGUUUGACAUUGUUACCGUAAGGAGAAAUUUGUUUUUGUUUUGUUCUGAAUCUUUUUCAUUCUUCGAAACAUAGCGUAUCUCCGAUCUGCACAAAAUUAUUAAAUUAGAAGAAACUUUGUUUAAAAAACAACCUCAGUGAAAACAAAAUCGCAGUCACAUUCUCAUCUUAAAUUGAAACAAAAGAAGACUGGAGGAAGCGGACAAGACAACCUAUAUAUACCUUUUAACCAAUCAGUUUGAUGUUCUAACUAUAAGAACACGCCGUUGACCGGUUUUGUUCUGAAUCUACUUCGCACUUCUUUGAAAAACUCUGAGUCAUCGUCCUAGUUUGAAGUUGGAACACGAACACACACCUGUUUCGUUUCACCCAAAAAAGAAAAAAUAUAAGAAAAGUUCAAAGGAAUUGUAGAGUACCUUGGUAGUUUAUUACCUGUGGAAUCAGAGAGUACCUCUAGUUUAUAUUUUCCUAAUUCAGUUUGGUAGAGCUAGCUAUGUUUUGACACUCUUUUCGCUGCAAUGAGGAAAUAAACGCACAAGAGGAAGGUGAAACCAGAUUUGAAUAUCAGAAUGGUUAUUAAUUAAGAAUGUGAGCUACCUUUUCAGCAUGUUCUGUUGGCUUGAGACAUCUGUGACGUGUUUUGGCCUGAGUACAUAUGGGUUCCUCAGUAGAUUAACCAUAUUUCUAGCAGUUUGCAGCUUCUUAAGGUCCAUUGACUUAUCUCCUUAAGAACCCGCUUUUAAGAAAACAUCACCAUCCUACAAGUUAAUCAAAAAAAGAGAAAAGUUAAAAGGUAUCAGAGAGUACCUCGAUUGUUUCUAACCUGUGGAAAGGAAAAUGGUUGGCAUGAGGCAAUGACAAGUACCGUUUUGUUCACAAGUUUUGUUUUGAAUUAUGGUGCCUUGUCGAGUUCCACUUCAAUAACAACUUGAGAUUGGAAAUGUGAUGGUGAUAAGUUAUAUAACACAGAAAAGAAAAAGAAAAGAGAGUAUUAUUGGUUAAGUGAUCCAACUUUAAACAUACAUAAAUAAAAUCAUAAUAAGUGCUUACUUACAGAGGAUUUGUCCCAUUGUUGUUGUUGUUGUUGUUGUUGUUGACUUGGGCCGGUCAAUCCUAUAAUUAUACAUGUGAAGAAGUGAACUAUAUGUAUAUCUGCAUCAUCUAAAGAAGCAACAAAGAAAACAAUGAAAAAAUAUCAAAUUGACGUUGUUACCGUAGGGCGAAGUUUGUUUUUGUUUGGUUCUGAAUCUUCUUCAUUCUUCAAAACAUAACAUAUCUUCAAUCUGCACAAAAAAUAUAAAAUUAGAUAAGCUUUGUUAAAACAACAGUGUAAACGAAACCAAAUUCAAGGAUGCGGACAAGAUAUUGUUACUGUAAGAACACGUCGACGACCUUUUUGUGUUCUGAAUCUACUUGGUACUUCCUUGAAAAAAUCUGAGUCAUCGUCCUAGUUGGAACACGAACACAAACACACAUACACACAC